GGGGUAGAGUAACACGUGAGCAACCUACCUUCGAGUCCGGGAUAGCCCUGAGAAAUCAGGAUUAAUACCGGAAUGACGUGGGGACGAGGCAUCUCGACCCCAAAAAAGGCGUAAGCCGUUCGAAGACGGGCUCGCGGCCUAUUAGCUUGUUGGUGGGGUAACGGGCCUACCAAGGCUCAGAUGGGUAGCUGGUCUGAGAGGACGAUCAGCCACACUGGGACUGAGACACGGCCCAG
rnacentral:rRNA from 1 species